UUGAUUCGGGGUCUACUCACA
rnacentral:siRNA from 1 species